AGCAGCCGCGGUAAUUCCAGCUCCAAUAGCGUAUAUUAAAGUUGUUGCAGUUAAAAAGCUCGUAGUUGAAUUUUGGGAUCAGUACGCUGGUCGUGCCUUCGGUAUGAACUGGUGUCACUGGUUCCUCCCUUCUGAAGAACCGUCAUGCCAUUCAGUUGGUGUGGCGGGGAAUCAGGACUGUUACUUUGAAAAAAUUAGAGUGUUUAAAGCAGGCUCGCGCUUGAAUACAUUAGCAUGGAAUAAUGAAAUAGGACGUUUGACCCUAUUUUGUUGGUUUCUAGGAUCGACGUAAUGAUUAAUAGGGAUAGUUGGGGGCAUUAGUAUUCAAUUGUCAGAGGUGAAAUUCUUGGAUUUAUUGAAGACUAACUACUGCGAAAGCAUUUGCCAAGGAUGUUUUCAUUAAUCAAGAACGAAAGUUAGGGGAUCGAAGACGAUCAGAUACCGUCGUAGUCUUAACCAUAAACUAUGCCGACUAGGGAUCAGAUGAUGUUAAUUUUUAAUGA
rnacentral:rRNA from 1 species